UCCUUAAUGCACUGAUCGAGGCCAGGGAUUGAACCCUCAUCCUCAUGGAUAUUAGUUGAGUUCUCAACCUGCUGAGCCACAGUGGGAACUCCUCCAACACAUUUUCCUUCUCUUAGAUUUUCUUUGCUAGGAAAAAUAAUUCUGAGAUUCUUGAUGUUUCAAUAAAAACAAAGAAAAUUCCCUGCUUUAAGACUUAAUUCAUUAUUACAGAGCCUGGGGAAUGAGUUUCUUCACUGUAAGUGCUCAGGAAAUGGGCAGAGUGAGUGUUUAAUACAUGCUGAUUGAUUUGUUUUGACGAAUAAGUGUAUGAUUGGAAGGAUCAAAAAUAAUAUAGAGUCAGAAAAGUUGGAGUAUAAUAUUUUUUCUUUGUAUGCUUUCUUUAGAAAUUGUCACCAAGUAGAAUUAAAUUAGACCAGUCCCAACUGUGAGAUUACCUGCAAGAAGACUGACUUUCUUCAACAGUCAAUGCAAUGAAAUAAACAUGUGGGAUGGGAUUUAGUGAGUGAACAUUCUGGACUGAGAAAAAGAAGACACCAUUCAAUGACCUAAUGAAAUGCACAGUCCGUGACUGGAUUCUGCAACACACAGACUUUUGUCAAGCCAAACUCAAGAUAAGUCACGCAUGAACAGUUCAUCAUCUGGGGGAAAUGGAACAAAUUUCAAUGAAAUAAAUAGUUUGGUAACUCAGACGCCAUCAUUUCACAUGUACAUUGUGUUCAUCUCGUAAAUGCCACAGCCCUCUGGUUGGCCAACUGGCUCUGGAAAAUUACAAAGAAAGCUCCAACUCUUAAAGGCUGGGUUUUGCCAGUCUUAUGGUCUCUGCUCAAAUGUCACCCCUUCCAUCAAGUCUUCUGUGAACCACUGGCUCAGCACCAUGGCUCCCUCACCUGAACUCCAGAGGCUUGUUGCCUAUGCAUCCCUUGGCACAGGUGAAGUGUGUUGCACGGUGAAGACCCACAGCAGGCGUUCAAGAACAUGCUAUUAUUACCAGCAAAGUCACCUUCAUACCUACUUCCCUGUAGCACUAAAAAGGCAUAUCGUUGAAUGAAUAAGAUCACGUAUGGCUAUUUUGCCAUUGUUUCAUUAAAAAUAGGCUGUCUUUACAGAAUAGACUUGUGGUUGCCAAGAGGGAGGGAGUGGGAUGAACUGGGAGUUUGCAGUGAGGAGAUGCAAACUAUUACAC